UUAGAGACUCCUGCCUCUUGAACUGGUUGCUCUGAGCUUCAGCCAUGAAGGCUUUUCUCCUCCUUGUUGCCAUCUUCUUGUUUUCCCACCAGGCUGUCACAGCAACUGGCCAAAGUGACCCUGCUAACAUUGCUUGUUUCCAAAGUGGUGGCUCCUGUAGACUAUCAUGUCCAUUUCCUGGUGAACCAUCAGGAGACUGUGCUGGUGGUAUGGUUUGCUGUAAAUGGCCUGCUCGUGGUCGUCCCACAUAAAAUAUCAGGAAAACUUUGAAGAGUCUGAAGAAUGUUGAAGAAGAUAUUGAAAUAUGGUGGCUGGAAGGUGUGCAAGCAAUUCUCCUGAGAUACAAAUAUUUUGAUUGAAUGUAUAAUCUGGAAAAAGAUAACUGUUUAACCUGUUGAUCUGUAUAUUAAAGCUCUAUAACAGCAA